rnacentral:snRNA from 1 species
UCGGGUAAAGCCAAUGAU